rnacentral:rRNA from 1 species
UAAAUAUAUAAAAGAGCAUUAGACGGAUACCUUGACAUUUAUUACAUUAAGGACGUUAUUAAUAACGAGAAUUUAAAAUGAAUUGUUUUUAUGAAUUUUAAAUCUCCUUAGAGAAAACUUUUUCAAAAUGAAAUUGUAUAAUUUAGCGAAUUGAAACAUCUUAGUAGCUAAAAGAAUAAAUAUCAAACGAAAUUCCAUUAGUAGUGGCGAGCGAAAGUGGAUUAAGGCUAUUUUAAUAAUAUUUGAGUUUAUAUAAAAUAACAUAGAUGGUUUUUAUUCCAGUAUAUAAUAAUAAAUAUUAUUAAAUUGAGUAAAACGAAAUAGGUGUAAUUUUGUUUGAAGAUAAGGGAACCAUCCUUUAAGCCUAAAUAUAAUAAAUGAUCGAUAGUGAACAAGUACUGUAAAGGAAAGGUGAAAAAGAACUUACGAAAUUGAAAUAGAUCUUGAAAUCUAAUGCUUUUAUCAAUUGGAGCUUUGUAAAAAGUGACAAUGUACCUUUUGUAUAAUGGACCAGUAAGUUUAUUUAUAUAGCAAGUUUAAAUUAUGAAAUGUAGACUUAGUGAAAGCGAAUUUGAAUAGAAUUAAAGAGUUAUAUAAAUAAGACCCGAAACCAGGUGAUCUAAUUAUGAACAAGUUGAAAAAAUAUUAAGUUAUUUUUGAGGACUGAACUCGUGCCUGUUGCAUAAGGCUGGGAUGAUUUGUGAUUAGGGGUGAAAGGCUAAUCAAACUUGGUGAUAGCUGGUUUUCUGUGAAAUCUAUUUACGUAAAGUGUUAAAAUUAUUUUUUUGGGGUAGAGAUAUCGAUAAAAGAGGGUUGCCCAUAAAGCUUUACCGAUUUUAAGGAAACUUCGAAUACAAAAAAAUAUUUUAAUAAUCGGACUCAUAAUGCUAAGGUUGUGGGUCGAGAGGGAAACAGCCCAGAUUGUUUAUUAAGGUCUUUAAAUUUUUUAUUUCUCAUAAGAAAAGAGUUUUUAAAUUGAAAUAACUAAGAGUUAGGUUCAGAAGCAGCCAUUCUUUAAAGAAAGCGUAAAAGCUCAUUAGUUUAGUUUAAAGAUUCCAACGAUGUAUAGAGAUUGUAAGAAAUAUACCGAAAUAGCAAAUUUUAAUUUUAUGUUAAAAUGGUAACAGAACGUUCUGUAUGCUAAAAGAUAAAUUGUAAAAUUUAUUAAUGUAUCAGAAGUGAUAAUACUGGUAUGAGUAGUAUAAAUAAUAUAAAAUAGGUAAUUAAAUAUUAUCGUCGAAAAUUCAAGGUUUUUAAUAUAUAAUUGUUAAACAUUAUUAAGUAAUACGGCCUCUAAGAAUAAAGCGAAAACUGUAUUCGAUGAGUUUAGAUUUAAAUAAACUUUAAAUAUUUUUUAAAUACAAAAAAAUAUUUGAAUUAAAAAAAAAUUUAUGUAAAACCGUACUAAAACCAACACAGGUGAAUAAGUAGAGUAUACUAAGACGAUAAAGAGAAUCAUAGUGAAGGAACUCGGCAAAUUAACCUUGUAACUUCGGGAUAAAAGGUUUUUAUUAAAGUAUUUUUUUAAUAAAAUAAUAUGAAAGAGGGUAGCGACUGUUUAAUAAAAACACAGGACUUUGCUAAAUCGUAAGAUGAUGUAUAAGGUCUGACACCUGCCAGGAACUGUGUAGCUAAAUUUAAAGAUAAAUAUUUUUAAUAUAAGUAGCAGUAAUCGGCGGCCAUAACUCUGAUGGUCCUAAGGUAGCGAAAUUCCUUGUCAACUAAUUAUUGACGUGCAUGAAUGGUGUAACGACUUCCCUACUGUCUCCACUAUGAACUUUGUGAAAUUGAAAUAUUCGUGAAGAUGCGAAUUAUAUAUGGUUAGACGGGAAGACCCCAUGC